AACGAACGCUGGCGGCGCGCCUAAUACAUGCAAGUCGAGCGAGAAGGUGUAGCAAUACACUUGUAAAGCGGCGAACGGGUGAGGAAUACAUGGGUAAUCUACCAUCGAGUGGGGAAUAACCAGCCGAAAGGUUGGCUAAUACCGCGUACGCCUCCGAAUCUUCGGGUUCGGAGGGAAAGCCACACUGUGAGUGCGGCGCUCUUUGAUGAGCUCAUGUCCUAUCAGCUUGUUGGUAGGGUAACGGCCUACCAAGGCUUUGACGGGUAGCUGGUCUGAGAGGACGACCAGCCACACUGGGACUGAGACACGGCCCAGACUCCUACGGGAGGCAGCAGUGGGGAAUUUUGGACAAUGGGCGCAAGCCUGAUCCAGCCAUUCCGCGUGCAGGAUGAAGGCCCUCGGGUUGUAAACUGCUUUUGUACGGAACGAAACGGCGCUCUCUAAUACAGGGCGCUAAUGACGGUACCGUAAGAAUAAGCACCGGCUAACUACGUGCCAGC
rnacentral:rRNA from 1 species